CCUUUCAAUGCAGAAGAGUUGAGGUGGUUGAGUAUCUCGCCCCUCAAUUCUCGCUGUAUUUUUACCCUUGUUUUUCUCAUACUAUUGUUUCCUCGGCAGGCCAGCCUGCCGGGUGAAACAACUUCAAACCUGUUUAAUUUUCAAUCAGCGUCUGAACAAAUUAAUAAUUA
rnacentral:misc_RNA from 1 species